UGUUUCUUUUCUACGGUUGGUGUCAGCAGUCAGCUCAUCUCCUGGUUCAUCAUCCAGUAUUUGCACUCCUCUGAUCAACUUGCUAAGGUUCCAACUUCCUCCUUUACUUGUAUUCUUUAUACUUGUUGCAAAUCAAGUAAUUUAACCGGUUCUAACUGUGUGUGUAACGUGUGGUGUGACAUUUUGCUUUUUUGUGUUCUUAUUG
rnacentral:rRNA from 1 species